AUUGAACGCUGGCGGCAUGCUUUACACAUGCAAGUCGAGCGGUAACAGGCCUUCGGGUGCUGACGAGUGGCGAACGGGUGAGUAAUGCAUCGGAACGUACCCAGAGGUGGGGGAUAACGCAGCGAAAGCUGUGCUAAUACCGCAUGUGCUCUGAGGAUGAAAGCGGGGGACCGCGCAGCAAUGUUUGGCCUCGCGCCUUUGGAGCGGCCGAUGUCGGAUUAGCUAGUUGGUGGGGUAAAGGCCUAGCAAGGCGACGAUCCGUAGCUGGUCUGAGAGGAAGACCAGCCACACUGGGACUGAGACACGGCCCAGACUCCUACGGGAGGCAGCAGUGGGGAAUUUUGGCCAAUGGGCGCAAGCCUGAUCCAGCAAUGCCGCGGGCGGGAAGAAGGCCUUCGGGUUGGAAACCGCUUUUGGCAGGAACGAAACGGUGUCCGCUAAUACCGGGCGCUAAUGACGGUACCUGCAGAAUAAGCACCGGCUAACUACGUG
rnacentral:rRNA from 1 species